GGGCCGGUAGCUCAGUUGGUUAGAGCAGCGGACUCAUAAUCCGUCGGUCCCAGGUUCGAGUCCUGGCCGGCCCA
rnacentral:tRNA from 2 species